rnacentral:lncRNA from 1 species
CCUCUGGAAGCGAUACGUUCACGUUUGUUAAGUGGGUUAGAUGACAUGGAGCUGGAAGACCUGAGAAGGAAGAGAAGAAGGUUCUAUGCUAGACUGGUCAUAUUUAGAAGACAUUUUCAUAUUCUAUCCAUUGUUUUGUGUGCAUUUUAUUCCUCACUACUGUGUAUAUAGUUGACAAUGCUAAGCUUUUUUGAAAUGUCUCUUCUUUUUAGAUGUUCUGAAGUGCCUGAUAUGUUAAAAUUAGAGGUAGCAAAAUCACAUUUUGUAAAUACCUUUUUGUUACAAUUCAUAGGAAAUAUUUUUUGGGGGGAAUGGUCAAAUCACCUGUUGAGUAAUACUCAUUGUGUUUGUGCAGUGGUUCAGGGGAGGAGAGAGGAGGGGGAGGUGCAGAGAGCUCUAUGCCAUCCUGUUUACAGCGAGGCAAGAUGUAUGUCUGUGCAUUUUGUUUUACUUAUCUGUGUAUAUAAUGUACAUAAAGGACAGACGAGUCCUAAUUGACAACAUCUAGUCUUUCUGGAUGUUAAAGAGGUUGCCAGUGUAUGACAAAAGUAGAGUUAGUAAACUAAUAUAUUUUGUACAUUUUGUUUUACAAGUCCUAGGAAAGAUUGUCUUCUGAAAAUUUGAUGUCUUCUGGGUUGAUGGCGAUGGGAAGGGUUCUAGGCCAGAAUGUUCACAUUUGGAAGACUCUUUCAAAUUAUAACUGUUGUUACAUGUUUGCAGUUUAUUCAAGACUGCUGUAUACAUAGUAGACAAAUUAACUCCUUACUUGAAACAUCUAGUCUAUCUAGAUGUUUAGAAGUGCCCGAUGUAUGUUAAAUGUAUAGGUAGUAAAAUACCACUUUGUAAAUAUCUUUUUGCUAAAAUUCAUAGGAAAUGCUUUUGGAAAUUGAAUUGUGAAGCCACCUUUGUG